AUUUCUGCCGAAUUAAUUUCGAUAUUACAUUGUGGGGUUUAUCCUUCUGCUGUGUCUCUCGCCUUAACUACCCAAUAUUUUUUGGUUGCCUCUAUUUCGAUGCUAUUUGUUCCUCCGGCACCAUCUAAUUUUUUAGAUGCUUUGUUGCUGAGUAUAGUUUGCAACUAAAAUAUUUUUCAUGACAGAGAAAAUGCAUACAUUACUAUGUAGUGGUCAAUCUGAGCCUCUUCCAAAGUCGCCUAAAAAGAUGCUAUGGGUUUUACUUCUUAUUUCUUUUCCUCAAUACUUCCCGUGCUUACUUUGUCGCUACUCUCUUAUGUAACUCUGCCUUCAUAUUAACUUUUACUUUGCUACUGUAUUUUUCUGUUUCUUUCCCUAAUUGUUCAGUUUUUAUACAUAUUUUCUUCUUCAUUAAUUUUCUAUCUUUGCCGAGGAGCAUUGUGCAAAUUUUUUGCCUAAUUAUUUGGUUUUCCUCAAACUUGGUUCUUUGCAUCCCUGUUCUUCUUUCAUGUUUGCCUUAUAUGAAUUGAUUGAUAGAGACAAUGAUGGUUUCAGCAAAAUAGAAAGCUACAGGUUGGGAACAAAAAAGGAAUUGUUGAUUACCCUCUUUUGCUGGAUUACUUCAGAUCUUUUGAAUUUCCAUUGUUGGUUCCCAUUUUUUACUAAUUACUUUCGAUAUUACACUAUGGGGUUUUCUUUUUUUUGGCUUUCUCUCCCUUUAAUACCUGAUUCCUUUUGGUUGCCUCAAUUUUUAUGCUAUUUAUUUCUUCAGUGUCCUCUAAUUUUUCAAAUGCUUUGUUGCUGAGAUUAGCUUGCAACUUAAUUGCUUUUUCAUAGUCGAGAAGAUGCGUAUAUUACUAUGCAGUGAUCAAACCUUACUGUGGGUAAGCUUUGAUAUAAAAGCUAAACUCUGAUUUAAAAAUGACAACUCUACAGCUGAUAUGAAAAAUUUAGAUGGAGUUUUUAGUGAGGAGGGAAGAUACCACCUGACAACCUACCUCCUCGGAUCAACAUAACCACACGAAGAGGAGGGACGGAUACGACGCGUCCAUGUCGCCCACCAUGCCGAGGAAGGACAUCAGCAUGACGCAUCUAUCCCGCCCGCCAUGCCCGCUGACACCCCAACGGAGGAUCCAGAGGGAAGAGAAGAGACCGCCACCCGUCCAAAACACGUACGGAAGGUGCAGAAGGGAUAGAAGAGACCGCCGUCCGGCUGCGAAGCGAGGACGUCAGCAUGACGCGACCAACUCGCCCGCCAUGCCGCCGACGAUCCUAACCGAGAUCGGACCCCCAGCAUGACGCGACCAACCCGGCUGCCAUUAAUGAGGAGCGAGAGCAGAGCGAAGUGCGAGAGCAAAGGAAGAGGAUGAUAAAAUAAUAAGGAGCGAGAGUGGACAGUGAAAGGAGCAAGAGCGGAAAGGGAAAGAUGUCGUCGUGAUUAGAUGCAUGAGAGAAGUAGGUCAACAACCAGGCCUCAGGUAUGCUGAUGAUGUUCAAACAAGUGAAGACAAAUAAUAAAGAAUCAAACAAGUGAAGUGAAGACAAAAAAUGAAGAAUCAAAUUCCGUAUAUUGGCCAAUUAUGAUCCUAAUGAUUGUAAUCAAUCAAUAGGGAAUAGAUUUGAAGCAUGGAUGGCUAAGUAUAAUUGCACUUGCCGCGACGAAGGUGAGAAGUGGCGCUGUUUCGAGAUAUUCAAGGAGAACGUCAACUUCAUCGAUGUGUUCAACCUGGGAGGAGCGCAGUCGUACGCUCUCGCCGUGAACCAGUUUGCUGAUCUGACCAACAAGGAGAUCGUGCCUACUUACACUGGGGCUAAGCCUUCGAAUAAUUCGAGGCCGUCAGAGCCAUCACCGCCACCGAUGAGGUAUGCGAGUUGGAGGGGCCCCCCUCUGACUAGGCUCCGAGCAUUGAUUGGAGGGAAAUAGGUGCAGUAACUGAUGUGAAGUACCAAGGCCCUUGUGGUUAUUACUGCUCAGUACUUUGUGUGGUUCUUUUGCCUUUUGCCGCUGAUUCUCCCUUGGAUCAGUAUGGGACUCAAAUCUAGAGAUUUGAUAUGCGUCUUAGUGUGGAUGGGAUCUCAAAUUCAUUGGCUAAUGUGGGCUUACCCGCUUGAAUUCAAGGGAAAGAAUGUCUUCAUACAACUUUGGUUAGCGAGCCUGCUGUUCUUUGCUGCAAACAUUUUUGUCAUGCUUAUGAUUAUUCACGAUUAUAAAUAUUCUCCAAUUUUCGCCCCGAAAUUAAAGCACCAGCCUUUUUCUUUGAAACCACGAUUUCGCCACACCAUACACUUUGCCAUAGUUGAAAAAUAUGCGGCGAAAGAAAACAAAACAUAUGCUGAACAAUAUACCAUGCAACACCAUUCGACAGUUUCCUAGAAACGUGACUAAAUGCCUGUUUGUUUGCUUUUAUGUGUGAGUGUGUGUGGGUUGGUUGUGUCUGUUGUUACUGUAUUCCGAACAAUUACAUGAAUUAAUGAUUGGAACAGAUCAAUGUUGGUUGGUUCGCAAA